UUCUUUCCAAACGAACCAUGCAGCAGUGAUUGUAAACAUCCUACACUCUCAGCUGUGAACAUAAGGUGGCUGGGAGAAGGGUGUUUACUCCCCCUGCCAUGGAGUAGUCCUCAUAUGUUAU
rnacentral:precursor_RNA from 14 species